UACAGAGGGGGCAAGCGUUGUUCGGAAUUACUGGGCGUAAAGGGCUCGUAGGUGGCCAACUAAGUCAGACGUGAAAUCCCCAGGCUCAACUUGGGAACUGCGUCUGAUACUGGAUGGCUUGAAUUCGGGAGAGGGAUGCAGAAUUCCAGGUGUAGCGGUGAAAUGCGUAGAUAUCUGGAGGAAUACCGGUGGCGAAGGCGGCAUCCUGGACCGAGAUUGACACUGAUGAGCGAAAGCCAGGGGAGCAAACGGG
rnacentral:rRNA from 1 species